rnacentral:lncRNA from 1 species
CUGAAAAAAAAAUUUCAGGUUUGUGCCAAAGAACCCUAAUUCUCUCCUUCAUACUCUUUUUUUCCUUAAAAAAAAUUCAAAUUCGCUGCGCCCACUCAUACUCUCGCUAAAGAAAUCUGAAACUAAAUAAUUUCUUUGAGAUCAAUCUGGACAUUCACCACAUUGAAGGUAAACUAGUUCUCCAAAUUUAGGUUCUCAUUUGAAACAUAUAUUGUUAUUCACCAACAGAUCAAUCUUUUUUGCAAUCUCUCUCUAUGAAUAGAGUUCUAAUUUUGGUUUUCAAAAGUUCUUUGCUAGGGUUUUGCUUAAUUGAGCGACUCUUCAAUGAUUCAAUUCUAAUUGGGUAAGGUAAUUUGUUUUUUCCUUUUAUGAUUUGGGAGCAUUUACUUAUUCUUUGUAAUUAUGUUAAAAAAAAAAAGGUAUAAUCUUUGUUAAAUUGGAUUCUCUGUGAUUCCUUGAAGGUUGAACACUAAUAACAAUUCAUUAAUAAACCAAACAGGAUGCCAGAUUAGAUAAGUGUUCAGGUUUAAUUGUAUAUAUUGAACCAUUCAUCUCUGGCUUUGUGAAGUAUGCCUUAAAUAAAUAUAUUUGGCUUUCAGCAUUUUAGCUUAGUAAGUGAAAAAUGCAGAAAUGCAAACUAGUUAGUGAACAAGCUAAUGUAAAAUUCUUUAUGUGGUCAUAUUAUUGGGAUGGUCUCCUAACCGUGGACAAGCUCCAACGAAGGGGAAUGGUGUUGUCUAAUAGAGUAAUAGGUGUUUGUCUUUGUAAGGAGGCAGAAGAGAGUAGUGAACAUCUCUUCAUGACCUGCAGGUUCACUAGGCAAAUUUGGGAGGAGUUGUUAGUGGUUAAGAGGGAAACACAGCACACACUGGACAGCUGGACUGCAUCCUCUGAACUGCUCACAAACUGGCGGGAAUUCAACAGUACAAAGAUUGCUCAGUUCCUAUGUGGAGUCUUGCCCGAUGGAGUGAUGUGGUUCAUCUGGAAAACAAGGAAUGGCGUGAUUUUUAGGGAAGGUGAAACAACAGUGGACAAAACAGUGCAGGCCGUCAAGGCGACAAUAUGGAGUUGGAUGAAUAUAAGUCCUAAAGUAAUGGAGAUGAGACAGAACAAGAGGUACACAGAUUUACUAUUUGGAUGAUAUGCCAGCCUUGUUUUCUUCCAUUGUUUCGCAUUUAUAACUCAUAAGUUGUAGUCAUAGAUAUGAUAAUACUUAUAAAAAAUUCUGGCGGUAAUCAGAUAUAUAUGCUGGUUGGUUAGUUUAGAAAAGCAUGGUCCCAGAGUUUUAUUCUAGUUUCGUACUCUUUUCUAAGCAAUUGUCUAACAAUAUACAAAUGUAAGCUGUUGCUUACCAGUUAACUCCUUAUGUAAUUUUUUUUAUGUAAUUUGUUAAUUAUAUCACCAA